rnacentral:rRNA from 1 species
CACGUAGUUAGCCGGCGCUUCUUAUCCAGCUACCGUCAACCCACCCACAAAAGGGGCAGGCCUGCUUCACUGGCGAAAGAGGUUCACAACCCGAAGGCCUCCAUCCCUCACGCGGCGUCGCUGCAUCAGGCUUGCGCCCAUUGUGCAAUAUUCCCCACUGCUGCCUCCCGUAGGAGUCUGGGCCGUGUCUCAGUCCCAGUGUGACCGUCCACCCUCUCAGGCCGGCUACCCGUCACCGCCUUGGUAGGCCAUCACCCCACCAACAAGCUGAUAGGCCGCGAGCCCAUCCCCCACCAAAAACACCCAAAGGCGCAAUCUUUCCCAGGCCCACCAUGCGACAGACCCAGAAUAUCCCGUAUUAGCCACACUUUCAUGCGGUUAUCCAGAAGAAGGGGCAGGUUACUCACGUGUUACUCACCCGUUCGCCACUCAUCCAGGACCCACCAAAGCAGGCCCCUUCACCGUUCGACUUGCAUGUGUUAAGCACGCCGCCAGCGUCGU